CCACCAUUAUCAAUAUUAUAGUUGACAUUAACCCGAACCGGGUAAUGCAUUACCAUUAACAGCUAUUCAGAACUAGUAAUGAUUGAGUGUGAUCCUAUGAGCUACUUGUUCUAAGCAUGACUAAGCAUUAACCUAGGCCUAACUCUAAUCAUGUUACCCCUGGUCCACCAUGGAUAAAGUUAGAUAAACAACGACAUAAUAAUAAGGAUAC
rnacentral:lncRNA from 1 species